CGGAGGGGCGUAGCGUUGUUCGGAAUUACUGGGCGUAAAGACGCACGUAGGCGGAUCAGAAAAGUUAGGGGGUGGAAAUACCCGGGGGCCGUCAACCUCGGAACUGCCUUCAAAACUAUUGGUCUUGAGUUCGAGAGAGGUGAGUGGAAUUCCGAGUGUAGAGGUGAAAUUACGUAGAUAUUCGGAGGAACACCAGUGGCGAAGGCGGCUCACUGGCUCGAUACUGACGCUGAGGUGCGAAAGCGUGGGGGAGCAAACAGGAUU
rnacentral:rRNA from 1 species